rnacentral:rRNA from 1 species
CGCAUUAUAAAACCUAAUUCACAAAAACUCACUAUUUAUAUAUAUGUUUAUUACUACCAAGUCCAACCUCAUAAAUUAGUUACAUAAUUUAAUCAGAUAAAAAAUUAUAAAUCGUAGCUCACUUUCAAUAUCUUUUCUAUUAGCUGCAUUUUGACUUGACAUUAUAACCUCACAUUAUUAAGUUUUUUCCAAAAUUUUUACAAAAUAAACUGACGACAGCAAUAUACAAACUGAUAUUAUUCAAAAAAAAGUAAGUAUAAAUUGAGGAUUAUCAAAUUAUUAAGCAAGCUCCCCUGGAAGGAUAUAUAAC